AGCAGGAGCUCCCACCUGAGGGCCUCUAUCUUUGCAACGGAGUAUGAAGCAAGGUCAUCCACUGAGAAUAAAUGUGGAAAGAUGGAGGUUUGGAAAACAUGAAGAAAAUAAGAAUCCUUUUUGGAGAGUGGAAAAGUCAGUCUACUAGAAAAAAAGUAAGAUUGUAGGCCAGUGCUGAGUAUUCAUUUGUGUUAAUUAUGAAUUUAUAAUGACUCCAGUCUUUCUUGUAUUCUGCAGCAAUAUUCCUGUUGUGCAUCAAAGGACACGGUGAAAGGGCAACCCAUGGAAUGGGAGAAAAAACUGCCAACCAAAAAUACAUAGAGCACUCCCACAAUGCAACACAAAAAAACAAGCCACCCAAUUCAAAAAUGGGACCUCAGCAGAGCCAUCAUCAAUUCAAGAUCAACACAGCCCGGCCUUGGAGCCCAGGACCCCGGGGACAGGCCCUAACAAUGCUUCUCCUCCUGGUCCAGAAGGUGUUAGAGAAGUCACUCCUGAAACCCACAGAGUGUAGCCGGGAAGUCAAGGGUAAGUCAGGACUGAAGAAACCCCUCUGCCCAGGCAUGCAUUAAAUUAAAUUGGGCGGAGCAGCAGGUCCUGUCUCUGCCAAACUCUG
rnacentral:lncRNA from 1 species